GUAGGGAAUAUUGGGCAAUGGUCGGAAGACUGACCCAGCCAUGCCGCGUGCAGGAAGACGGCCCUCUGGGUUGUAAACUGCUUUUAUCUGGGAAGAAAAAGGCCAUGCGUGGCAAAUUGCCGGUACCAGAUGAAUAAGCACCGGCUAACUCCAUGCCAGCAGCCGCGGUAAUACGGAGGGUGCGAGCGUUGUCCGGAUUUAUUGGGUUUAAAGGGUGCGUAGGCGGCUGAUUAAGUCAGCGGUGAAAGACUUCGGCUUAACCGGAGCAGUGCCGUUGAUACUGGUUGGCUGGAGUGUCGGAGGGGUACAUGGAAUUGAUGGGGUAGCGGUGAAAUGCAUAGAUACCAUCAGGAACACCGAUAGCGAAGGCAUUGUACUGGCCGACAACUGACGCUGAUGCACGAAAGUGUGGGGAUCGAACAGGAUUAGAAACCCGGGUAGUCC
rnacentral:rRNA from 1 species